rnacentral:rRNA from 1 species
UACGGAGGGUGCAAGCGUUGUCCGGAAUUACUGGGCGUAAAGGGCUCGUAGGCGGCCAACUAAGUCGGACGUGAAAUCCCUCGGCUUAACCGGGGAACUGCGUCCGAUACUGGAUGGCUUGAGUUCGGGAGAGGGAUGCGGAAUUCCAGGUGUAGCGGUGAAAUGCGUAGAUAUCUGGAGGAACACCGGUGGCGAAGGCGGCAUCCUGGACCGAUACUGACGCUGAGGAGCGAAAGCCAGGGGAGCAAACGGG